GUGGGGAAUAUUGGACAAUGGGCGAAAGCCUGAUCCAGCCAUGCCGCGUGAGUGAUGAAGGCCCUAGGGUUGUAAAGCUCUUUCACCGGUGAAGAUAAUGACGGUAACCGGAGAAGAAGCCCCGGCUAACUUCGUGCCAGCAGCCGCGGUAAUACGAAGGGGGCUAGCGUUGUUCGGAAUUACUGGGCGUAAAGCGCACGUAGGCGGACUAUUAAGUCAGGGGUGAAAUCCCGGGGCUCAACCCCGGAACUGCCUUUGAUACUGGUAGUCUCGAGUCCGGAAGAGGUGAGUGGAAUUCCGAGUGUAGAGGUGAAAUUCGUAGAUAUUCGGAGGAACACCAGUGGCGAAGGCGGCUCACUGGUCCGGUACUGACGCUGAGGUGCGAAAGCGUGGGGAGCAAACAGGAUUAGAAACCCGAGUAGUCC
rnacentral:rRNA from 1 species